rnacentral:lncRNA from 1 species
UUGAAUAAUAUUUAAGAAUAUUUUGUACUCCAUUUACAUUAGCUCCUGAAGCGAUUUAUGUUAAACUUCAGUCGACAGUUAAAAAUUUUUCUUAUUCGUGUGUAAUUAUCUUGAAUAUAUUCACAAAACAUUAUAGCGAUUUACGAUGUAUUUUGUAGAACAUUGAAAGUAAUCUGGCGUCUGGAAUUCUUUAACAAACUUUUAGAAGAUAAAAUGUUUUGCUGACGAGCUACACUGCUAACUUCGCUUUCUACUAACGUAUAUAGAUCACGCUCUUGCCUACUAAUUGUAUAAAUAAUAUACUUGUUAGCCUCUUUAAACGCUUCACUGACGAUACUUUUACGCAUUUUGCGAAACUAAAAACGAAGUCCAAUCAAAUUUUCUAGUGAGUGAGCUUGCUUGUUGAUAAGGCUGUAAGGCGAUAUUUUCGUCUGCCUCUAAGGUAGCUUUUUGCGUGUGGUUGUUGGAGACAUGGUGAUUCAAAUGUUGAGCCAUCUUAAGUCUUUUGUCGUGUUCAUCAUGUUCAGUUUUCGGGACCAAAUUAGUGGUAUUUAAAGUACUUACACACAGCUGAUUCGACAUCGAGGUAUAGAGUUGUGAGUUUGUGCACACGUGUGCAAUCAAGCGCAUGAACUUUUUUCCGUUUAUCGACGCGUGAAAAACGGAUAAAAAUUAUCGACUGUGUAAUUUUAUCUGUUUCAGUUUUGAUCAAAAAAUAUUCAGAUGAUAGAGAUGUUCACAAAAAGAAUUUACCCCAUCGCAGCUCAUUCGGCUUGUAUAAAAGAUUGGAUGACACAUUAUUAAUUUAGUUAAAUAUUUCCGUGAGUCCUAAUUAAGUUAUGGCUGAAAUUAAAUUAAAUUUAAAGACACGUAAAUGGUACAUGGAUGUGUGAACCAAUAAAAUAUUUUACUCGUAUCAGACUCUGCCACCGCGAUCAUUUUAUCAUUCGAUCGGAAUUAUUGGGUUAUAUGUGGUACCAUCAUCUAUAAAUAACUCAACGUAUGUCAUUCUUAAGCGAUCAAAAAACAUUAAAUAGCCGCACCGCAUUCGAUUAUUUGCGUUCAGUAAAAACGAUCAGGUCGAAGACGAGCGACCGACAAGUAUUUUGUCUGAAUAAGAUCCGCUUUUAUUGGUUCGGGAUUAAUUAUCGUAAAAAUCUGCAUUUACUCAGAAAGUAGAAGUAAUAAAAUCCCUCACAAUCAUUACUUCCUAUCAGUUCUUGUUGAAAAUAAGGAAUGUUCUCUUCAGGAUAAAAGGUGAAAAAUUUAAAUUCAAAGGUAAAGAACAUUUUCUAAAAUUCAUUUGUUAGGUUGAAAUUAUCGUGUAAGAAAUGUAUAUUUUUAUUAUUUACGGGUAUCGUAAUGUUAAGUUAGUGGAAUAAAUUCGAGAUUAUGCCGGAUAGAAGUGACCAUGUUCACUAUAAACUAAUUUGGGCGUCAUUCCAAUUAUAUUCUAGUAAUUGUUUUGUUACGAUGUGGAAUCGGUGACAUUAAUCCACUCAAAUAUUUUGUCGCUCGCUCAUCGCUUGAAUUUAAUUUUUGUCAGAAAUAAUUAAAUAAAAUUACAAACUUACAAAUAAUUGUUCUGAAUGGAGUCUCGUUUUGAAAUCAAACUCCAGUGAGUAUGAAUUUUGUUGUUUUCUUGGCGAGUGGCUGACAUGAUAUGAAGGGAUUUUCACCAAAACUACAAACGUAUAAAAUAAACGUAUAAAAUUUAUUGAUAAGAAUGGUGCGUUUUGCACGCGCUUUAGUGAUCUCAUGUAUAAAUGCUCUUAUUAUUACCGUGUUACCAUAUGAUGAGAAGGAGUCUCCAGCCGCCGAGAUUUCUGAUCAUUUUUUCCGUCGAACUUUAAAGGCUUGCUCAUGAUUUGCAUCCCCAAACCGAAGUCAUUCUACGCACUGCUGGUUGACGGGAUCCGCUGUACAGGUUUAGUCUUAAGUAACUAGCGUUAAACCGUUGUUAUCACCAGGUCAAGUGGCAAUUUUCAUCAUGAGAAACCAGUAAAUGACUUCGCUUCGAA